AACGAACGCUGGCGGCAGGCUUAACGCAUGCAAGUCGAGCGCCCCGCAAGGGGAGCGGCAGACGGGUGAGUAACGCGUGGGAAUCUACCCAGCUCUACGGAAUAACUCAGGGAAACUUGUGCUAAUACCGUAUACGUCCGAUAGGAGAAAGAUUUAUCGGAGUUGGAUGAGCCCGCGUUGGAUUAGCUAGUUGGUGGGUA
rnacentral:rRNA from 1 species